rnacentral:lncRNA from 1 species
UAUUAUGAUUAAUCUCCACGUAUGAUUCAUGGCAUGGUAAUCCAGUGAUGAGACAAUAUUCUUGCAUACUAAAUCUGGCAACACGAUCACCUAAGCGUACCCACACUUGGUUAUUUUUACCACAAUAUAUAAGCCUCAUCACAAAUUCAUGUAUCAACUUACUGCUAAAUUGUUCAUCCUCUUCCCUAUACAUAACUCCCACAAAAAAUCCAUAGAAAUUGCUGCACAUAACAGAAGCCCGUUGAUUUGCAUCUAUAAAUUCAAAAAAAUCCAGGAGAUAUUGCUGAUUUGGAUAUUGACAAAUAGUGGCAGGGAACUAUUGAUCUGGAG